GAUGAACGCUAGCGGCAGGCUUAACACAUGCAAGUCGAGGGGCAGCAUAAAUAGUAGCAAUACUAUUGGUGGCGACCGGCGGACGUGUGCAUAACGCGUAUACAACCUUCCCUAAACGGGGGGAUAAUCUGGAGAAAUUCGGUCUAAUACCCCAUAACAUCAGAGCAGGCAUCUGUUUUGGUUAAAAUUUCCGGAGUUUUAGGAUGGGUAUGCGUAGCAUUAGCUAGUUGGUGAGGUAACGGCCCACCAAGGCGACGAUGCUUAGGGGGACUGAGAGGUUAACCCCCCACACUGGUACUGAGACACGGACCAGACUCCUACGGGAGGCAGCAGUGAGGAAUAUUGGUCAAUGGGCGGAAGCCUGAACCAGCCAUGCCGCGUGCAGGAUGACGGCUCUAUGAGUUGUAAACUGCUUUUGUACGAGGGUAAAGUGGGCUACGUGUAGCCUUUUGAAAGUAUCGUACGAAUAAGGAUCGGCUAACUCCGUGCCAGCCGCCGCGGUAA
rnacentral:rRNA from 1 species